rnacentral:rRNA from 1 species
AGUGAACGCUGGCUGUAGGCCUAACACAUGCAAGUCGAACGGCAGCACAGUAAGAGCUUGCUCUUACGGGUGGCGAGUGGCGGACGGGUGAGGAAUACAUCGGAAUCUACUUUUUCGUGGGGGAUAACGUAGGGAAACUUACGCUACUACCGCAUACGACCUACGGUUGAAAGCAUGGGAUCUUCGGACCUUGCGCGAUUGAGUGAGCCGAUGUCGGAUUAGCUAGUUGGCUGGGUAAAGGCCCACCAAGGCGACGAUCCGUAGCUGGUCUGAGAGGAUGAUCAGCCACACUAGAACUGAGACACGGUCCAGACUCAUACGGGAGGCAGCAGUGGGGAAUAUUGGACAAUGGGCGGAAGCCUGAUCCAGCCAUACCGCGUGGGUGAAGAAGGGCUUCGGGUUGUAAAGCCCUUUUGUUUGGAAAGAAAAGCAGCAGGUUAAUACCCCGCUGUUCUGACGGUACCCAAAGAAUAAGCACCGGCUAACUUCGUG